rnacentral:rRNA from 1 species
UAGGGAAUCUUCCACAAUGGGCGAAAGCCUGAUGGAGCAACGCCGCGUGAGUGAGGAAGGCUUUCGGGUCGUAAAGCUCUGUUGCCAGGGAAGAAUAAGGAUCAUUUAACUGAUGAUCCGAUGACGGUACCUGAGAAGAAAGCCCCGGCUAACUACGUGCCAGCAGCCGCGGUAAUACGUAGGGGGCAAGCGUUGUCCGGAAUUAUUGGGCGUAAAGCGCGCGCAGGCGGCUCUUUAAGUCUGGUGUUUAAGUGCGGGGCUCAACCCCGUGACGCACUGGAAACUGGGAGCUUGAGUGCAGAAGAGGAGAGCGGAAUUCCACGUGUAGCGGUGAAAUGCGUAGAGAUGUGGAGGAACACCAGUGGCGAAGGCGGCUCUCUGGACUGUAACUGACGCUGAGGCGCGAAAGCGUGGGGAGCAAACAGGAUUAGAUACCCUGGUAGUCCACGCCGUAAACGAUGAGUGCUAGGUGUUGGGGGUAUCAUGCCCUCGGUGCCGAAGUUAACACAUUAAGGCACUCCGCCUGGGGAGUACGGUCGCAAGACUGAAACUCAAAGGAAUUGACGGGGUCAUGAGCU